rnacentral:rRNA from 1 species
CUGGUGAGUGUGUCAUGGGCUUGGUCAUUUUUGGCCGGCCUCUAGAGUCCGCUUAGCUGCGGGUCCUUUUUCCUUCGGGAAUGGGGAUGUGCGUUGCGCUUGUCAAGUGCUGUGCGCUCUGGAGGUUGCCGGGCUGGCUCGCUAGUGCACUUUCUCGGGGUGGUCACCACGACCGGCGUUGUUGCCUUACUGCUGUAGUCAAACCGGUCAGGUUUGGUCCUUGUGACUGAAUUUGAUCGGGAUGGCAGGUAGCUCAUUGGUUGGCUUGCUAGCCUUUGGGUGUAAUAGCUGGCUGCAGUGGUUUUGUGCAAUACGUCGGAGACGGCGGCUUCAGGUGUGUGCUUUUGUGUCGUGGGCUGGCAGUGUCGGGUUUGACUGGCGUGUUUACCUGCUUCGGUGGGUCUGUCGGUAGCUCGGUGCUGUUCGGUUUGCGGUUGCAUUAGUGAUGCCGUUAAUGGGC